rnacentral:rRNA from 1 species
UGCCAGCCGCCGCGGUAAUACGGAGGGGGCUAGCGUUGUUCGGAAUUACUGGGCGUAAAGCGCGCGUAGGCGGGCUGGUCAGUUGGGGGUGAAAUCCCGAGGCUCAACCUCGGAACUGCCUUUAAAACUGGUAAGCUAGAGGAUGUGAGAGGUGAGUGGAACUCCGAGUGUAGAGGUGAAAUUCGUAGAUAUUCGGAAGAACACCAGUGGCGAAGGCGGCUUUCUGGACCAAUACUGACGCUGAGAUGCGAAAGCGUGGGGAGCGAACAGGAUUAGAUA